AGACACAGGAUAGCAGACACAUCGAGUCACAACAGAAAUCGAAAUCCUGAGACGAGCAUUUGAAAGUUGAAACUACAAUCACAGGAUUCACAGCUACAAUGUUGCUGAAGCAUUGUGUUACUUCUCUCCCAGUCCGAGGCCUGUCGUCUGUAAGAAACUAUUCAAUCAAAUCAACGCUGAGUGAAAAUGAAAUCCAGAAAUUCAGUAAAAUGGCAAAGGAAUGGUGGGAUGUUAAUGGACCAUUCAGUGGGUUACACUCUUUAAAUAAACUAAGAGUUCCAUUCAUCCGAAAUGGAAUAUGCUCUCAUCAAAAAUCAGCUGUUGUUAACAAUUCUCCGACAAGUCCAUUGGCAGGAUGUAGCAUAUUGGAUGUAGGAUGUGGUGGUGGAAUUUUGAGCACAAGUCUGGGCCGUUUGGGAGCAAGUGUUACAGGAAUUGAUCCAAGUGAAGAAAAUAUUGCAGCAGCCUCUCUUCAUGCUAAUAAAAUGAGGCUUCAGAAUGUGACCUUUGAAGUCAAUACCAUUGAACAUUUUCAAGCAUUAAACACUAGUUUGUCAACCACCUUUGAUGCAGUUGUUGCAUCUGAAGUCAUUGAGCAUGUAGAAAAUCCAAAAUUUUUCAUCCAAACAUGCACUGAAUUACUCAAACCAGGAGGUUCUUUAUUCAUAACAACUUUAAAUAAGACUCCUGCUUCUUGGGCCCUUGCCAUUUGUGGUGCAGAAUAUAUUCUCAAUGUUGUACCAAGAGGAACACAUGAUUGGAAUAAGUUUAUCACUCCUGAUGAACUAAUAGACUACAUUAAUAGCAGUGGAUGCCAGCUUCGACAAAUAUGUGGCAUGGCUUACAACCCUUUUAUGAACAAAUGGAAAUGGUCAAGAACCACCAGCGUCAACUAUGCUGUACACGCUACAAAAUCGUCUCAGCUAACAUCACCGGAUCAAAGAAAUUUUACAUAAGCCUACAGAUAUUGGUCCCUAUUUACAAGUUGUCGACGGAAAUCUUUGUGAAACUUGUUCAGCUUCAAUCAAUUAUCAAGAUAUCACACAUACUGAUAAUCAAGACGGCAUUUGGAUUUUUUAAGACCUGCCGUUCUUCCUCUAUUGAACGUGCUAGUGCCGUUACGUUGCCGGCUCCAAACCCACGAGCUCCUUUUCUUUGAACCAGUUCUAGAAAAAAAGUUUCUUCCUUGAAUAAAUUAAGUGUAAAAAUCUGCAGCAGAAACCUGUUCAAAAUGACAAAACGACACGAAAGGUCAGUUUAUAAUGAAGCAGUUAAAUAUAACACAAAAUCUCACUUGUCUUGAUUGUCUUUAGCAUUUGUAUCCGCUUCGGAGUCAAUGAGAAUUCCCAAUUGCUCGAAUUUGUUAAUGUCGUAGCCUGCCGCUUCUAUUUCAUUUCUUUUCCAUUUCUGGGUUUCAUUUAAGGUUUAACAAAUUCCAUUAAAGAAUGUGUGAGCAAAAUUCUUUUUAAAAACGGACAUUACGUACGUUACGAUAAUAGGCUGCAGGUGGUGUUCGGAAUGAAACCUUUUUGCGGCUCAUGCUAUCCACGCAGCUGGUGAUGUCAAGGGUGCUAAGACCGAUGUGUUGAAGUCCUGGUCCUCCAUGACCGUCAAGGAAAGCAUUUAUGUGCAAAUUUUCUAGAAAUCACGUGUUCGGUAUUAUUCGUGAGAAUAAUAAUAAAAAAAAAAGGUUUAUAAAAUUUACCUAUUCCUGGAAGGGACUCUGCGAUGACAAUUUUCAACGACGUUUCGUCCAUGCCAUUGCUGGGAUCGGAAUUACAAAUGCCAGACUCGGCACAAGGCCAAUAGUCCAUAACUCGUAGCCUCAUACCAACUCCAUCUUUGAUCACUAAGCCUUCUGUAAGAUCCUCUGUUGGGUUGGUUUUAAAUUUUUGCAUCCCCAAACAACUUUGAUACCACUGAAUGAUGCCCGGUGAUUCUCCGGGAUGGCAAACAUAAGUUAGAUGAUCUAUGUGGGUUAUUUUCUCUUCACCACGGGUUGUAAAUGAUUCAUCGAAAGUGGGCAGAAACGAUCCUUUGUACUGUGACUUGUCCAAAAGAGUAUGCACUAUAUUGCCGCAACAGGAACUGACAAUUGAAUAUCUCACUUUUCCACUCUGGUCUUCUACUUCUGUUACCGGGUGAAAUAGUUUUCCUCCUACAUUUUGCAUUCUUUCAGUUACAGAUUCCAAAUUUUUCACCUCCAAAGCCACAUUAAAUACAGAGUCGACUUGGCGAAGAGGCGCAGAGAAGUAAGAAAAUGGCACAUGUUCCUGUUGAAAUUUUGUCUUCUUUUCCGUGACGACGAAUGUAGAUUUCUGACUUCCAACCACCCACUGUUUGCUUAGUACAGUAUCUCUUUGUGCUCUGAGAGAAUAUCCGAGUUUCUCAGUGAAAUACGAAGCGAUCUUUUUUCCGUUAGCCACACACAGCUCGACAUGGUGUAAUGCGCUUAGAUGCAUUCGAUUCAAAUCAGAAUUGUAUUAAUGGUCUAAAGAAAAAAGAGAGACUCUUGAAGAAUCAACAAGCUCAAACUGAUGGUUCGUGUCUAUUGAAAAUUCUCAACGUGAUUGUGAUUGUUUCUUUGCAAAGAGCAUGUUUUAAACAAGUUUAGCAGGUACGGCGGUGACAAAAUAUGGUUUUUUGAUUUUAAGUUUAUAGAAAGUUUUUUUUUUUCGGUUAAAUUUCAUUCACUUCACAUGUGGUAACAAAAGGACCCGACGUUGUGUUUCGGAUUGGAUUCGGAUUGGAUUUGCAAGACUGGUCCGUUGCGUAAAUCUUCAUAACCGACUACUUUCGAAACAAGUGUCCUUUAACAGGCUCUCUUACGGUGAAAUCUAAAGAAACUUUUACUUCAACUUUUUUUAAAUAGAGUUAACUAGGCCACAGCUUUACCAAAGUUGAAAUGGAAAGAGUUGAAAAACAACUAGCGUUAAUCGCGUUUUACCACUGACUUUGUUCUGGUCUGUUAUUGAAACUGUGCUUGAAUACACCUUAUUUCACUGUCUUAGAACGUGUCACACUCAUCGCAAAAACUGUCAGCGUUU